AGCAGCCGCGGUAAUUCCAGCUCCAAUAGCGUAUAUUAAAGUUGUUGCAGUUAAAAAGCUCGUAGUUGAAUUUCGGGAUUUGUCGGUUGGUCGGGCUUCACUGUCCGCACUGGCCUGACGGAUUCCUACCUUCUGAAUAACCAGCAUGCUAUUAAGUUAGUGCGUUGGGGAAGCAGAGCUAUUACCUUGAAAAAAUUAGAGUGCUUAAAGCAGGCUUGUGCUUGAAUAGAUUAGCAUGGAAUAAUAAAAUAGGACGGCAUGGUUCUAUUUUGUUGGUUUCUAGGAUCACCGUAAUGAUUAAUAGGGAUAGUUGGGGGCAUUAGUAUUCAAUUGUCAGAGGUGAAAUUCUUGGAUUUAUUGAAGACUAACUUCUGCGAAAGCAUUUGCCAAGGAUGUUUUCAUUAAUCAAGAACGAAAGUUAGGGGAUCGAAGACGAUCAGAUACCGUCGUAGUCUUAACCAUAAACUAUGCCGACUAGGGAUCGGACGAUGUUAAUUUUUUAAUGACUCG
rnacentral:rRNA from 1 species